UACGAAGGGGGCUAGCGUUGUUCGGAUUUACUGGGCGUAAAGCGCACGUAGGCGGAUAUUUAAGUCAGGGGGUGAAAUCCCGGGGCUCAACCCCGGAACUGCCUUUGAUACUGGGUAUCUCGAGUCCGAGAGAGGUGAGUGGAAUUCCUGGUGUAGCGGUGAAAUGCGUAGAUAUCAGGAGGAAUACCGGUGGCGAAGGCGGCCUUCUGGACGAUGACUGACGCUGAGACGCGAAAGCGUGGGGAGCAAACAGG
rnacentral:rRNA from 1 species